rnacentral:rRNA from 1 species
UGCCAGACUCCUACGGGAGGCAGCAGUGGGGAAUAUUGCACAAUGGGGGAAACCCUGAUGCAGCAACGCCGCGUGAGUGAAGAAGUAUUUCGGUAUGUAAAGCUCUAUCAGCAGGGAAGAAAAUGACAGUACCUGACUAAGAAGCCCCGGCUAACUACGUGCCAGCAGCCGCGGUAAUACGUAUGGGGCAAGCGUUAUCCGGAUUCACUGGGUGUAAAGGGGGCGCAGACGGCAGCGCAAGCCAGGAGUGAAAGCCCGGGGCCCAACCCCGGGACUGCUCUUGGAACUGCGCGGCUGGAGUGCAGGAGGGGCAGGCGGAAUUCCUGGUGUAGCGGUGAAAUGCGUAGAUAUCAGGAGGAACACCGGUGGCGAAGGCGGCCUGCUGGACUGCGACUGACGUUGAGGCCCGAAAGCGUGGGGAGCAAACAGGAUUAGAUACCCCUGUACA